rnacentral:tRNA from 1 species
GCUCUUAUCGUCUACACGGUAUAGGACGCCAGACUUUCAAUCUGGAAAAGCGGGUUCGAUUCCCGCUAAGAGCACCA